rnacentral:lncRNA from 1 species
CCCUUCUGCCCAGAACUUCGGUGUCGAGGCCGCUCAACGCUGCGACAUGCGUCGGAGGCUGAGAGUGAAGCAGAGAAUGGGAGAGGGCAUGCGUCGCCCCCACCGCCCACUCAUUCUAUGGCACAUGUUCCCCCAAUCGAGGCGACCCAUUGAUCACAGGAGGGCUCAAGAGGCAUUCGCUUUCAUCCAGAAGCUUGAAGCACAAUUGUGAAGUGCGAAAGCCCCUACUGCAUACUCCCUACGCUCACUUCACAAUGAAGACAGUAUUCCUAGCUUUCUGCCUUGGGGUGUUUGCCUUCACUUCUUUGGCGGACUUGACAGCAGCCUACGAAUUUACCCAUGUUGAAGUAGGCCUUGGAUGUCCAAAGUCCUUGCUGACUUGUUCGCAAGAAUGUCGAAGAAAUUACGGUCAUCAAGGUGGAUAUUGCAAUGGGCCGUUCAACACCGUCUGCACCUGUACCUGACCGGGCUUCGAAAGGUUUAAUUACGCUGUCUCGCCGUUCGUGUUCACAUUUUCUUUCUUGAACAGCAAGAUACCUGAGUGAAACUUCUCGCUCAUCAUGUUAAUGGAUUGGGCCCGUUGUAAUGAAGCGGGUAU